rnacentral:rRNA from 1 species
AGAGUUUGAUCAUGGCUCAGGAUGAACGCUGGCGGUAUGCCUAACACAUGCAAGUCGAACGAUGUCUUCGGACAUAGUGGCGGACGGGUGAGUAACGCGUGAGAAUCUGCCUCUAGGAUGGGGAUAACGGUUGGAAACGACCGCUAACACCCAAUAUGCCGUAAGGUGAAAAAUUUAUUGCCUGGAGAGGAGCUCGCGUCUGAUUAGCUAGUUGGUGGGGUAAGAGCUCACCAAGGCUUCGAUCAGUAGCUGGUCUGAGAGGAUGAGCAGCCACACUGGGACUGAGACACGGCCCAGACUCCUACGGGAGGCAGCAGUGGGGAAUUUUCCGCAAUGGGCGAAAGCCUGACGGAGCAAUACCGCGUGAGGGAGGAAUGCCUUUGGGUUGUAAACCUCUUUUCUCAGGGAAGAAGAUCUGACGGUACCUGAGGAAUAAGUAUCGGCUAACUCCGUGCCAGCAGCCGCGGUAAUACGGAGGAUGCAAGCGUUAUCCGGAAUCAUUGGGCGUAAAGCGUCCGCAGGUGGUUUCCAAAGUCUGCUGUUAAAGACUGGAGCUCAACUCCGGAACGGCGGUGGAAACUUGGAAACUAGAGUUCGGUAGGGGUAGCAGGAAUUCCCAGUGUAGCGGUGAAAUGCGUAGAUAUUGGGAAGAACAUCGGUGGCGAANGCGUGCUACUGGACCGUAACUGACACUCAGGGACGAAAGCUAGGGGAGCGAAAGGGAUUAGAUACCCCUGUAGUCCUAGCUGUAAACGAUGGAAACUAGGUGUGG